rnacentral:lncRNA from 1 species
CUUUGUUUAAAGUGCAAAAUUCACGAUGGAUAAGCUUUGGAAGAAUCUUCUACAGAUGAGAAGAGGGCUUCCUGGGAAUUCCUUAUCAAUGCAGUGCUGGACCAAUGGUGAACUGGUAACACUGGAGAGUGGAUAGCUGGACCACUGCAAGCCUCCUGCAGGAACCUACAUCACCACUGUCCUUCAGACCACUCAUGAGGGCUGGGGAGCGCUCACUUUCCCUCUUCACCUCUGCUCAGCACCAGUCUACAAC